AGUUGCUGAAACCCUUUGUCUCUGGCUACCUUUAACUAUGAUUUCACCUCCCAGUCAAUACACCGUGGUAGCGUCCUACGGUUAGACUAUCUUGCUUCUGGUGUAAGAAAUUCCCAUGGUAGACGGGCGGUGUGUGGCGCUCCUGGGAACGCAUUCACUGCGGCAUGAUAUGAUACUAAAGGACUCCGACUUUCAUGCGGAGUCGAGCUGCGACUUAUCUGACUACGAUUCUGGCUUUUUGAGAUUAGCAUCCUAUCGCUAGGUAGCAACCUUUUGUACCGACCAUUGCAGCACGUGUGUAGCCCUUGUAAGGGUUAUGAUGACUUGACGUCGUCUCCGCUUCCUCUCCAGUUUGUCACUGGCAGCAUCCUUAAAGUUCCCACCUCGAAGUGCCGGCAAAAUAAGGAGGGCAAGCCGCUUCGUUGCGGACUUAACCCAACAUCUACGAUGCUGAUGACAGCCAUGCAGCACCUGUAUGUAAGCUCCUGAAGGUACCCAAUCCAUCUCGAGUUUCUACUAUGUCAAGACCAGGUAAAUUUAAUGGGACUAGACAUAUCAAUCCCGCUUCGCGCUCCUUGAGUUUUGUCCGACGCUCAGGCGGCGACUCACCGCGUUAGUUCGCUACCAGUUCGAAGGUUCAACAGCUAGCUGACAUCGCUAGGGCGUGGACUCGGUAUCAAUCCUGUUUGCCCCCACAUUGUAUGAGAGCACGCACCAAGUGUUGUUCUGCAUUUAGCUGCCAGCCGUAGUUCUCCCAUAUCUACGCAUUUCACUGCUACACGCGGAUUCCACUCCUCUGACACACCUAGCUCGGUAGUUAAAAAUGUAGUUCCAAAGUUUGAUUAUUUUCGAAAUGUAGUUGCGCACGCUUUACGCCUGUAUUCUGAUUAACGCUUGCACCCUACGUAAUACCCCGCAACUGACGGCAUCAAGAAUGCUAAUCGGCUAACUACGCCAGCAGGCGGUAAUACGUAGGGUGCAAGCGUUAAUCGGAAUUACUGGGCGUAAAGCGUGCGUGGGCGGUUUCGGAAAGAAAAAGAUGUGAAAUCCCAGAGCUUAACUUUGGAACUGCAUUUUUUUAACUACCGAGCUAGAGUGUGUCAGAGGAGGUGGAAUUCUCGCGUAGCAGUGAAAUGCGUAGAUAUGCGGAGGAACACCGAUGGCGAAGGCAGCCUCCUGGGAUAACACUGACGCUCAUGCACGAAAGCGUGGGGAGCAAACAGGAUUUCAGAUACCCUGGUAGUCCACGCCCUAAACGAUGUCAACUAGCUGUUGGGGCCUGGCCUUGCAGCGCAGCUAACGGCGUGAAGUUGACCGCCUGGGGAGUACGGUCGCAAGAUUAAAACUCAAAGGAAUUGACGGGACCCGCACAAGCGGUGGAUGAUGUGGAUUAAUUCGAUGCAACGCGAAAACCUUACCUACUCCUUUGACAUGUCUGGAAUCCCGAAGAGAUUUGGGAGUGCUCGCAAGAGAACCGGAACACAGGUGCUGCAUGGCUGUCACCAGCUCGUGUCGAGAUGCUGGGUUAAGUCCCGCAACGAGCGCAACCCUUGUCAUUAGCUGCUACGAAAGGGCACUCUAAUGAGACUGCCGGUGACAAACCGGAGGAAGGUGGGGAUGACGUCGUCCUCAUGGCCCUUAUGGGUAGGGCUUCACACGUCAUACAAUGGUCGGGACAGAGGGUCGCCAACCCGCGAGUGGGGAGCCAAUCCCAGAAACCCGAUCAGUCCGGAUCGCAGUCUGCAACCCGGACUGCGUGAAGUCGGAAUCGCUAGUAAUCGCGGACCAGCAUGUCGCGUGAAUACGUUCCCGGGUCUUGUACACACUGCCCGUCACACCAUGGGAGUGGGUUUUACCAGAAGUAGUUAGCCUAACCGUAAGGAGGGCGAUUACCACGGUAGGAUUCAUGACUGGGGUGAAGUCGUAACAAGGUAG
rnacentral:misc_RNA from 1 species